UACGUAGGGGGCUAGCGUUGUCCGGAAUCAUUGGGCGUAAAGAGCGUGUAGGCGGCCCGGUAAGUCCGCUGUGAAAGUCGGGGGCUCAACCCUCGAAUGCCGGUGGAUACUGUCGGGCUAGAGUGCGGAAGAGGCGAGUGGAAUUCCCGGUGUAGCGGUGAAAUGCGCAGAUAUCAGGAGGAACACCGAUGGCGAAGGCAGCUCGCUGGGACGGUACUGACGCUGAGGCGCGAAAGCGUGGGAGAAGCAAGAUGAU
rnacentral:rRNA from 1 species